rnacentral:tRNA from 1 species
GAGUCUCUUAGCUCAGUUGGUUAGAGCGCACCCUGAUAAGGGUGAGGUCGGUGGUUCGAAACCACUAGGGCCCACCA